rnacentral:rRNA from 1 species
UUCCGGUUGAUCCUGCCGGAGGUCAUUGCUAUUGGAGUCCGAUUUAGCCAUGCUAGUCGUACGAGUUCAGACUCGUGGCGAAUAGCUCAGUAACACGUGGCCAAACUACCCUGUCGAGCACGAUAACCUCGGGAAACUGAGGCUAAUAGUGCAUACGGCUCGAUGCCUGGAACUGGCUCGAGCUCGAAACGCUCCGGCGCGACAGGAUGUGGCUGCGGCCGAUUAGGUAGACGGUGGGGUAACGGCCCACCGUGCCGAUAAUCGGUACGGGUUGUGAGAGCAAGAGCCCGGAGACGGAAUCUGAGACAAGAUUCCGGGCCCUACGGGGCGCAGCAGGCGCGAAACCUUUACACUGCACGACAGUGCGAUAAGGGGACUCCAAGUGCGAGGGCAUACAGUCCUCGCUUUUCACUACCGUAAGGUGGUAGUGGAAUAAGUGCUGGGCAAGACCGGUGCCAGCCGCCGCGGUAAUACCGGCAGCACGAGUGAUGACCGCUAUUAUUGGGCCUAAAGCGUCCGUAGCCGGCUUCGCAAGUCCGUCGGGAAAUCCGCACGCUCAACGUGCGGGCGUCCGGCGGAAACUGCGUGGCUUGGGACCGGAAGACUCGAGGGGUACGUCCGGGGUAGGAGUGAAAUCCCGUAAUCCUGGACGGACCACCGGUGGCGAAAGCGCCUCGAGAGGACGGAUCCGACGGUGAGGGACGAAAGCUAGGGUCACGAACCGGAUUAGAUACCCGGGUAGUCCUAGCUGUAAACGAUGUCUGCUAGGUGUGGCGCUGGCUACGAGCCAGCGCUGUGCCGUAGGGAAGCCGUGAAGCAGACCGCCUGGGAAGUACGUCUGCAAGGAUGAAACUUAAAGGAAUUGGCGGGGGAGCACUACAACCGGAGGAGCCUGCGGUUUAAUUGGAUUCAACGCCGGA